rnacentral:lncRNA from 1 species
CUGGAGGAUACAUAGUAAAAUCAUUUCUGGUGAAAUAAAAUAUAUAUAUAUAUAUACACACAUACACACAGUACCAGUCAAAAGUUGACACACCAACUCAUUCAAGGGUUUUUAUUUAUUUUUACUAUUUUCUACAUUGUAGAAUAAUAGUGAAGACAUCAUAACUAUGAAAUAACACAUACAGAAUCAUGUAGUAACCAAAAAAGUGAUAAUUAAACAAAUCGAAAUAUAUUUUACAUUCUUCAAAGUAGCCAGCCUUUGCCUUGAUGACACCUUUGCACUCUUGGCAUUCUCUCAACCAGCUUCACUUGGAAUGCUUUUCCAACAGUCUUGAAGGAGUUUCCACAUAUGCUGAGCACUUGUUGGCUACUUUUCCCUCACUCUGUGGUUCAACUCAUCCCAAACCAUCUCAAUUGGGUUGAGGUUGGGUGAUUGUGGAAGCCAGGUCAUCUGGCGCGGCACUCAUUACUCUCCUUCUUGGUCAAAUAGCCCUUACACAGCCUGGAGGUGUGUUGAGUUAAUGUCCUGUGGGGAAAAAAUUAGUCCCACGAAGCGCAAACCAGAUGGGAUGGUGUAUCGCUGCAGAAUGCUGUGGUAGCUAUGCUGAUUAAGUGUGCCUUCAAUUCUAAAUAAAUCACCGACAGUGUCACCAGCAAAGCACCAUCUCACCUCCUCCUCCAUGCUUCACGGUGGGAACUACACAUGCAGAGAUCAUCCGUUCACCUAUUCUGCGUCUCAGAAAGACGGCAGUUGGAACCAAACAUCUCAAAUUUGGACUCAUCAGACCAAAGGACAGAUUUCCACCAGUCUCAUGUCCAUUGCUCGUGUUUCUUGGCCCAACCAAGUCUCUUCUUCUUAUUGGUGCCCUUUAGUAGUGGUUUCUUUGCAGCAAUUCGACCAUGAAGGCCUGAUUCACGUAGUCUCCUCUGAACAGUUGAUGUUGAGAUAUGUCUGUUACUUGAACUCUGUGAAGCAUGUAUUUGGGCUGUGAUUGCUGAGGCUGAUAACUCUAAUGAACUUAUCCUCUGCAGCAGAGGAAACUCUGGGUCUUCCUUUCCUGUGGCGGUCCUCAUGAGAGACAGUUUCAUCAUAGCACUUGAUGGUUUUUGUGACUGCACUUGAAGAAACUUUCAAAGUUCUUGAAAUUUUCCUGAUUGACUGACCUUCAUUUCUUAAAGUAAUGAUGGACUGUUGUUUCUCUUUGCUUAUUUGAGCUGUUCUUGCCAUAAUAUGGACUUGGUCUUUUACCAAAUAGAGCUAUCUUCUGUAUACCACCCCUACCUUGUCAUAAUACAACUGAAUGACUCAAACGCAUUAAGAAGGAAAGAAAUUCCACAAAUGAACUUUUAACAGGGCACUUUUAACAGGUGACUACCUCAUGAAGCUGUUUGAGAGAAAGCUGUAAUCAAGGCAAAUAUUAUCUCAAAUGUAAAAUAUAUUUAGAUUUGUAUAACACGUUUUUGGUUACUACAUGAUUCCAUGUGUUAUUUCAUAGUUUUUACGUCUUCACUAUAAUUCUACAAUGUAGAAAUAGUAAAAAUCAAGAAAAACCCUUCAAUGAGUAGGUGUCCAAACUUUUGAAUGGUACUGUGUUUAUACAGUACCGUUCAAAAGUUUGGGGUCACUUAGAAAUGUCCUUGUUUUUGAAAGAAAAGCAAAAGUUCUGUCCAUUUA